rnacentral:lncRNA from 1 species
CCUGUGUGUAUGUUCCAGACCAUACGAGUAUUUGGACCGUACGCGUACAGUCCGGACCGUAUACGUAUACUCGUACGGUCCAGCUGACCAUACAUGUUUUGGUAUCAUAUGGGUUAAAUUAAAAAAAAUAAACAAUAACCAAAAAUUUGUAGCUUUAGUUCUCCAAGAUGCUAUUUUUACAUCAGAUGGGUAAGUGAAUAAGCGUACAAUUGAAAUUAAAUGUUUGUUUAAUUCUAUAUCUGAAUCCCAUUUUUGUACUCUCGCUCCAGUUGACACUAACUACCACAAGGAAUGUUAUGUUUUUUUUUAUUAAUUUACAUUUACAUGUUUGCGGUCCAUUCAUGUUCCUUUGCAUAUGCAUUUUUUUUU